rnacentral:lncRNA from 1 species
UUCAAACUUAACCCAUCUCACCAUUUUACACUUUGGCUUUCUCUUUCUCUUUGGUCAUGGAAUCCCCCGCACCACCACACAUUCAUUUUUCAAGUUUCAAACUCAAAGGCAAGCUUGAGAUUUCAAGUUCAAGUGUUCCUUCAAGCGACUUAAGCUUUGUUUUCUUUAAAGGAUUCAACCUCAAGAACUCUUUAUUCUCUUACAUCCAUAUCCUUGCUUGCUUUAAGGCACAAAUAGGAGGGUUCACAUAGACACGGACCUUGCCAUUUACGAUAUGCUUUGCCACGUUUGUUUGCACAGGAAUGUCAAGGUUACAUUUUCAAAACAAUGGAACGGUUGGAAUAGGAGAACCCAUGGGAAUUCGAGUAAUUAGCGGGCGUUAAAUUUCUAGAAGUCUUAGCUUAUUUGCUUCCGCUGUGCAAUGAAGAUACCGGUCCAGUCACGCCAAGCUCUGAUAUUUCGGGGUGUGACACUAACACCUGGAACUUUCCCUCCUUUGAUCAUCCACUAUAAAGUUGUCUCCUUGAUGUCUUGCAUUAUCACCCUUUGAAAAGUGUAACACCUCGUAAAAAUCACGUCCAAUGAUGUAUUGACACGUGUAAUAAACCCUAAUAAAGUCGAAUAGUGAAAUUUAGGGACUAAUUUUUUCGAAAAAUCGAAAACUUUGAUU